GUCGAAGACAAAUUCAUGGGACUCAGAGUUUCCUUCUUGCUUCGGUACACGGGUUGUGUGGAGUACUGUCACCAAUGCGAGCCCUUGACUUCAAUCCCUGGUCUCGGGUCACCGGGGAAGCCAUCAGUUUAGUGUGUGAAGCUGUGCCUGGUGCCAAUGGUGCGGCAAGGAAGAGAAAGCCCUGUAGCUGCCCACUCAGCUCCCCUCUGGGGAGGAGCGACCUGAGGUUUGCUGGAGUGCCGAUGGCUCUCCCUGUGUCCACCAGCAGCCUCAACCUCACAGCAGCAGACUGCAAACAGGUCAUUGCCAACCAUCACACACAAUCUGUCUCAUUCGCGUCUGACUGGGAUACAGACACAGCUGAGUAUGUUGCCUAUGUUGCCAAAGACGGUGUGAAUCAGAGCGCCUGUGGCAUCCUGGAGUGUCCUGAAGAGCUUGCUCAGGACGUCAUCAGCACCAUAGGUCAGACCUCUGAGUUGCACAUCAAACAAUAUCUCAGGAAUCCACCCAAGCUGGUCAGCCCCCAUGACAGAAUGGCUGGCUUUGGUGGCUCAGCUUGGGAUGAAGAGGAAGAAGAGGCACUUGACUAUCAGUAUUACAAUGACUUCUCAGGGAAGGACCCGCCUCUUGAUGGGUGGUAGACAUGCGGCAUCAGGAAGGGACUGCUUGAGCCACUCUGCCCACUGCCCAGAUGCCCAGCCACUGGGGAGCCACACUGCCUAUAGGGCAGCAUGCUGCAGGAGACCCUGAAGUCCAUAAACACAUGCUGCCUCCACCACCCUGCCCUGGAAGAGAGCUCUUCCAUGACCUCCUCUGCCAACAUCCAGAAUCUAGACAAGCCCCGCCCCAAUCCUUCCGUUAAUGGCAGUGCACCCCAGACUUCUGACAUGAAGCCCUUUGAAGAUGUCCUUUGGAUGCCUCCAGCUUCCCAGUCCAUGCCCAUAGCUGGGUGGCUCCAAGGGGAGUCCCGGUUCCAGGGAAAGCUGAGCAGGGGGGAGGCUGAGACACAGCAGCAGCUCAGCAGUGACUUCUUGGUGUGAGAGCGAGCGCAGCCACAGCUGGCCAGUACGGGCUCACUGACUGCGGAGUGGGCAGCCCAAGCUCCUGCUUCUGCUGGCCCCUGAAGGUGUGGUUUAGACAAAGGAUCGCUGCUGUGAGUUUCAGUCACAUCAGCUGCCACAGGGUCAAUCACUUGCCCAUCAGCUCUGCAGGCAGCAAAUUGUAUCUAUAGCCACCCAUGGAUGGGAAAGUGAUUCCUCCCAGCCCUUCCUGA